rnacentral:lncRNA from 1 species
CUCGGAAUUCUGUAGUGAUACAGCAAGAGGCUGAGAAGCUGUAUGUGGAGCAAAAGGGCUGAGAUUCCUGUUGUGAACGGAGUGAAGUGCUGUUUGCCAAACUGACAGGGUCAGCUUAUGGCUGACCGGUGAGAAUCGUGUCAUCUACUCGCUUUGCAAUCGAAGACCAUUGUGAAGAUACUGUAGGAUUUGUUGUCUUCAUUGGGUAAACCCGGCACCUCCUGUCUGGCAGCGUGUAGCCUUUUGGCUCAAACAUCGAUCCCAAACCCCAAAGAAAUAGGGAGGCUGCAGCGUGAGUCCUUCGUGCAGCCCCCGCACUCCUUAAAUCAGAGAUCACUGACGAUACUGCAGUACCCCAUUUCUGCUGCGGCACGACGUGGGAUUUCUGAAGUCACGGCAGGUUUGGAGAAACGACAAAUCAUCUCCAGAAUGCGCUCCCUGAACAACCUGCCCCACAUGCAUGGGGCACAAGCCCCAUUUUGGGGGCAAUGACCCCCACUUGUGGGGCGCUACCCCCGCCCCCACUGUCACAGCUGUGCCCCGAGGACACCAUCACCCCACUGCACAUGGCCAUCAACUUCUCCCUGGACUUCACGCACCCCACGGUGACAUUGGCGUGGAGCGAAGUGGAGCAGGGGACAUGGGGGGGCUUGAGGGGACAUGGGGACAUGAGGGGACGUGUGGGGACACAGGGACAUGGGGGGACACGGGGACGUGGGGUUGAAGUGUGGGGUCAGAACUACAGACUACAGAGACAAGGUGACAUGCGGAGGUGAUGCAGGCAGGUGGGUUCUAGGGCCUGGCGCAUGCGUAGUGGGGUCUCAAGAGCUGUAAACUUAGGUGGAGAACUGCAGCUUCCACUAAUUUUUGUGGAAACAACAUAAUGGCCCACACGAACCUCAGAACUGCAGCAUGGCACAGUGUCUGCCUGUUUAGACCUGCCAGUGCCUGCAAUGGGGCCUUGCUAGGGCCUGCAAUAGGGCCUGCAAUGGGGCCUUGCUAGGGCCUGCAAUGGGGCCUUGCUAGGGCCUGCAAUGGGGCCUGCAAUGGGGCCUUGCUAGGGCCUGCAAUGGGGCCUUGCUCGGGCCUGCAAUGGGGCCUGCAAUGGGGCCUUGCUAGGGCCUGCAAUGGGGCCUUGCUGGGGCCCACAAUGGGGCCUGCAAUGGGGCCUUGCUAGGGCCUGCAAUAGGGCCUGCAAUGGGGCCUUGCUAGGGCCUGCACAUGCGCCAGCUCCGAGACCCCACUUUGCGUGGGCCUGGGUAAUGGAGGGACUGGGAAGGAUUGGCUGUGACUGGGGGGACACUGGGAAAGUCUGGGAGGGGUAUUGGGGACACUGGGAGGAACUGGGGGGGACUGGGAGAGGUAACAGAGACACUGGGAGGGGUAAUGGGGGCACUGGGAUGGACUGGGAUGGCACUGGGGGGACUGGAAUGGGAUUGGGGGACGUGGGGGGGGACUGGGGGGCACUGCAAAGGGACUGGGAUGGGAAUGGAAGGGGAUUGGGGGGGCACUGGGAUGGGAAUGGGGGGUGCUGGGAAGGACUGCGGGGCACUGGAAGGGAAUUGGGGGGGGGGGGGACUGGGAGGGAUCUGGGGAACACUGGGAGGGAAUUGGGGGGGGCUGUGGGGGCACUGGGAGAGACUGGGAAGGACUGGGAGGGUAAGUGGGUGUAGUGGGGGGGCACUGGAAGGGAAUGGAGGGGGCUGGGAGAGAAAUGGGGGGCUGUGGGGACACUGGGAGGGGUUGGGGGUCACUGAGAGGAGGAAUGGAGGGCACUGGGAGGGACCUGGGAGGGAAAUGGAAGGCUGGGGGGGCACUGGGAGAGAAAUGAGGGGGGGGCUGUGGGGCACUGGAAGUGACUGGGAGGGUAAAUGGGGGCCUGGGGGACCACUGGGGGGACCCUACAGCAUUUCACUUCCCCCCACCCCCCCCCGAAAAUUCAUCCUUGCCCCCCCACACCUUGGGGGGCACACACACUCCACCCCCCCCCUAAAAAAUAUGGGGGGGGGGGUGUCUUUUAAAGGGCUAUCCCCCCCCUGCGAGACCACUAAAUCUGGGGGGGGGGGGGGGGGGGGGGGGCAUCUGUCUGUCCCGUUCUGCUGUGGGGGGCACCCCCAGAAUGGUGCCCCAUGCUUCCCCAAUUAACCCCCCCUUCCCCCCCUCCCCCCCCCCCACUGUACAAUAAGAGCUCUUUACUCUUCUAUGGAUGUCUCCAUAUAUUUUUUGGGGGGGAGGGACCCUCAAUUUGAGGGUCCCCAAAUGGAGGGGGGAGGGGGGGGAUAUAGAGGGGGGGGUGGUCACCGGGGGGGGCGGCGCCUCCACCAGCGCUCCAAAGCUUCACGCCAACCCCCCCCUCCCACCCCUGGGACCCCCAACCCCAUCCAACGGCCUCGAGGGGUCCCCCCCACACUUGUGGGGCGUGGAAGGACCUGAGGGGGGGGAAGAUAGGGGGGAGGGGGGUCACUGUGUGUCACCAGUGCGGCCCCACUGAACCCAUAAAGACCCCAGUGUGACCCCAACGCCCCAUAGAGACCCCAUUGACCCCACAGAGCCACAGAGACCCCAUAAUGCCCCAGAGACACCAUUGACCCCAUAGAGACCCCCCAAUGCCCCAUAAAGA